UACGUAGGGGGCAAGCGUUGUCCGGAAUCAUUGGGCGUAAAGCGCGUGUAGGCGGCCCAGUAAGUCCGCUCUGAAAGCCCGGGGCUUAACCCCGGGAGGCGGGUGGAUACUGCUGGGCUCGAGUCCGGAAGAGGCGAGUGGAAUUCCCGGUGUAGCGGUGAAAUGCGUUGAUAUCGGGAGGAAUACCCGUGGCGAAGGCGGUCCACUGGGCAUCAACUGACGCUGAGGCGCGAAAGCGUGGGUAGCAAACAGG
rnacentral:rRNA from 1 species